rnacentral:rRNA from 1 species
CACGUAGGGGGCGAGCGUUGUCCGGAAUUACUGGGCGUAAAGGGCGCGCAGGCUGUUAUGCGAGUCUGCUGUGAAAUGUACCGGCUCAACCGGUGCCUUGCGGCGGAUACUGCAUAGCUGGAGUACUGGAGAGGGAAGUGGAAUUCCCGGUGUAGCGGUGAAAUGCGUAGGUAUCGGGAGGAACACCAGUGGCGAAGGCGGCUUCCUGGCACAAUACUGACGCUCAUGUGCGAAAGCUAGGGCAGCGAACGGGAUUAGAUA